rnacentral:rRNA from 1 species
UACGGAGGGGGCUAGCGUUGUUCGGAAUUACUGGGCGUAAAGCGCACGUAGGCGGCGCCGUAAGUCAGGGGUGAAAUCCCGGAGCUCAACUCCGGAACUGCCCUUGAAACUGCAGUGCUAGAAUCCUGGAGAGGCGAGUGGAAUUCCGAGUGUAGAGGUGAAAUUCGUAGAUAUUCGGAAGAACACCAGUGGCGAAGGCGACUCGCUGGACAGGUAUUGACGCUGAGGUGCGAAAGCGUGGGGAGCAAACAGG